AUGGCGGCGACUGGAGGCCGAACGCGGAGGACGACGUGGCGGCCGUGCUGUUCGUGCUGCUGGCACUUGUGCUGCCCGGCGUCUGCGAAGACUCCUCGACCGAUGGUGGAGGACUAAUGUCAUGCACAUGCCGUCGUUCUGUCAUGGUGGGCGUCGCUGGUCUGCUGUUUCGUCCUGGUCAUCGCCCGUCAGCCUGAAGAGGAUUCUGCAGUGUUUUCGUGAGCUUCGGGGCUUCCAGAGGAGCCCACAAGAUCCUGGGAGUAGCUGUGCCCCCUGCUGGGCGAGGGGUGCCGGCCAACUGCUGGGGACUCUGCUAGGUCUUCACGCCCAGCACAUCCAGCUGCCUCUGUCUAUUCCCUGUGCAGACCCUGCCUCCUGUUUCCCCCCAUAAAAUCUGUCCAAAUUGAACCCAGCAGAUUUCCCUCUCUCUCUGUCUAUAUCUGCACCAUACCUAUAUCAUGUCUGUGUAUGGAUGUCUCUAGAGUAUUUUCAUUUUAUGUCUUUGUUUAAAUCUAAAUAUAUAAAUAUUUUAGAUAGAAACAUAUAAUUUGUUUUACAUCUAUGUAAAUAUAUUGAUUAAAAUGAUUUUAUCAUCUCCUUCUGUUAAUUAAAAUUCCUGAUCAGCAGUGA